GCCUAUCAGCUUGUUGGUGGGGUGAUGGCCUACCAAGGCGACGACGGGUAGCCGGCCUGAGAGGGUGACCGGCCACACUGGGACUGAGAUACGGCCCAGACUCCUACGGGAGGCAGCAGUGGGGAAUAUUGCACAAUGGGCGCAAGCCUGAUGCAGCGACGCCGCGUGAGGGAUGACGGCCUUCGGGUUGUAAACCUCUUUCAGUGCCGACGAAGCGGAAGUGACGGUAGGCACAGAAGAAGGACCGGCCAACUACGUGCC
rnacentral:rRNA from 1 species